rnacentral:rRNA from 1 species
AGAGUUUGAUCAUGGCUCAGGACGAACGCUGGCGGCACGCCUAACACAUGCAAGUCGAACGGACGAAGAGGAGCUUGCUCUUCUGAGUUAGUGGCGGACGGGUGAGUAACACGUGAGCAACCUACCCUUGAGAGGGGGAUAGCUUCUGGAAACGGAUGGUAAUACCCCAUAAUAUAUACAUAAGGCAUCUUAUGUAUAUCAAAGAGAUUCGCUCAAGGAUGGGCUCGCGUCUGAUUAGAUAGUUGGUGAGGGUAACGGCCCACCAAGUCGACGAUCAGUAGCCGGACUGAGAGGUUGAACGGCCACAUUGGGACUGAGACACGGCCCAGACUCCUACGGGAGGCAGCAGUGGGGAAUAUUGCACAAUGGGGGGAACCCUGAUGCAGCGAUGCCGCGUGGAGGAAGAAGGUUUUCGGAUUGUAAACUCCUUUUAUCGGGGACGAUAAUGACGGUACCCGAAGAAAAAGCUCCGGCUAACUACGUGCCAGCAGCCGCGGUAAUACGUAGGGAGCGAGCGUUGUCCGGAAUUACUGGGUGUAAAGGGAGCGUAGGCGGGAUGGCAAGUCAGAUGUGAAAUAUACGUGCUCAACAUGUAGACUGCAUUUGAAACUGCUGUUCUUGAGUGAAGUAGAGGUAAGCGGAAUUCCUAGUGUAGCGGUGAAAUGCGUAGAUAUUAGGAGGAACAUCGGUGGCGAAGGCGGCUUACUGGGCUUUUACUGACGCUGAGGCUCGAAAGCGUGGGGAGCAAACAGGAUUAGAUACCCUGGUAGUCCACGCUGUAAACGAUGAUUACUAGGUGU